rnacentral:rRNA from 1 species
GAUGAACGCUGGCGGCGUGCCUAAUACAUGCAAGUCGAGCGAACAGGCGAGGAGCUUGCUCCUCUGACGUUAGCGGCGGACGGGUGAGUAACACGUGGAUAACCUACCUAUAAGACUGGGAUAACUUCGGGAAACCGGAGCUAAUACCGGAUAAUAUAUUGAACCGCAUGGUUCAAUAGUGAAAGACGGUUUUGCUGUCACUUAUAGAUGGAUCCACGCCGCAUUAGCUAGUUGGUAAGGUAACGGCUUACCAAGGCAACGAUGCGUAGCCGACCUGAGAGGGUGAUCGGCCACACUGGAACUGAGACACGGUCCAGACUCCUACGGGAGGCAGCAGUAGGGAAUCUUCCGCAAUGGGCGAAAGCCUGACGGAGCAACGCCGCGUGAGUGAUGAAGGUCUUCGGAUCGUAAAACUCUGUUAUUAGGGAAGAACAAAUGUGUAAGUAACUAUGCACGUCUUGACGGUACCUAAUCAGAAAGCCACGGCUAACUACGCG